AUUGUACAGGAUUCUUCUAGUGCCACUGGUGUCUCUAUGAUGAAUGUCUCUAGUCCUGAGUUACCGUUCACUCCUAAUAUACCAUUGACUACAUCAAGUCCAGUAAUAAGCUCUAAGACUGAUAGCACUUUUACAUCAACAAAAAAUCAAAUAUUACUCCCACCUAGUAUGAUACCAAAGCCAGUAGGUCAGCAGUCAUUUGUGAUUAUA